GAUGAACGCUGGUGGCGUGCCUAAUACAUGCAAGUCGAACGCAUUGAGAGAAGUGCUUGCACUUUUCAAUUUGAGUGGCGAACGGGUGAGUAACACGUGGGCAACCUACCUGAUAGCGGGGGAUAACGAGUGUAAACAUUCGCUAAUACCGCAUAACAAGAGAGAAGGCAUCUUCUUUAUUUAAAAUGCGCUUUCAAGCGUCACUAUCAGAUGAGCCCGCGGUGCAUUAGUUAGUUGGUGGGGUGAAGGCCUACCAAGACGAUGAUGCAUAGCCGAGUUGAGAGACUGAUCGGCCACAUUGGGACUGAGACACGGCCCAAACUCCUAAGGGAGGCUGAAGUAGGGAAUCUUCCACAAUGGACGAAAGUCUGAUGGGGCAACGCCGCGUGUGUGAUGAAGGCUUUCGGGUCGUAAAGCACUGUUGUAUGGGAAGAAAUGCUAGGCUAGGAAAUGAGCUUAGUUUGCCGGUACCAUACCAGAAAGGGACGGCUAAAUACGUGCCAGCAGCCGCCGUAA
rnacentral:rRNA from 1 species